rnacentral:sRNA from 1 species
GCCGGGCAUGGUGGUGCUCUCCUGUAAUCCCAGGGGCUUGGGAGGCUGAGGCAGGAGGAUUGUGUGAGUUCAAAGUCAGCCUUAGCAAAAGUGAGGUGCUAAGCAACUCAGUGAGACCCUGUCUCUA